rnacentral:rRNA from 1 species
CCUACGGGAGGCAGCAGUGAGGAAUAUUGGUCAAUGGACGAGAGUCUGAACCAGCCAAGUAGCGUGAAGGAUGACUGCCCUAUGGGUUGUAAACUUCUUUUAUAAAGGAAUAAAACGAGGCACGUGUGCCUUUUUGCAUGUACUUUAUGAAUAAGGAUCGGCUAACUCCGUGCCAGCAGCCGCGGUAAUACGGAGGAUCCGAGCGUUAUCCGGAUUUAUUGGGUUUAAAGGGAGCGUAGAUGGGUUGUUAAGUCAGUUGUGAAAGUUUGCGGCUCAACCGUAAAAUUGCAAUUGAUACUGGCAGUCGUGAGUACAGUUGAGGUAAGCGGAAUUCGUGGUGUAGCGGUGAAAUGCUUAGAUAGCACGAAGAACCCCGAUUGCGAAGGCAGCUUACUAAACUGUGACUGACAUUGAUGCUCGAAAGUGUGGGUAUCAAACAGGAUUAGAUACCCCUGUAGUC